UCCUACGGGAGGCAGCAGUAGGGAAUUUUCGUCAAUGGGCGCAAGCCUGAACGAGCAAUGCCGCGUGAACGAGGAAGGUCUUCGGAUCGUAAAGUUCUGUUGAAGGGGAAAAAGAGCGGAGAGAGGAAAUGGUCUCCGAUUGAUAUUACCCUUCGAGGAAGUCACGGCUAACUACGCGCCAGCAGCCGCGGUAAUACGUAGGUGGCGAGCGUUAUCCGGAAUGAUUGGGCGUAAAGGGUGCGUAGGCGGCCUGCUAAGUAUGGAGUGAAAGGUACCGGCUCAACCGGUACAGGCUCUGGAAACUG
rnacentral:rRNA from 1 species